UAUGAACGCUGGCGGCGUGCCUAAUACAUGCAAGUCGAACGCAUUGAGAGAAGUGCUUGCACUUUUCAAUUUGAGUGGCGAACGGGUGAGUAACACGUGGGCAACCUACCUGAUAGCGGGGGAUAACGAGUGGAAACAUUCGCUAAUACCGCAUAACAAUAGAGAAGGCAUCUUCUUUAUUUAAAAGGCGCUUUCAAGCGUCACUAUCAGAUGGGCCCGCGGUGCAUUAGUUAGUUGGUGGGGUGAAGGCCUACCAAGACGAUGAUGCAUAGCCGACGUGAGGAGCAGAUCGGCCACAUUGGGGCUGAGAAACGGCCCAAACUCCUAAGGAAGGCUGCAGUAGGGAAUCUUCCACAAUGGACGAAAGUCUGAUGGGGCAACGCCGCGUGUGUGAUGAAGGCGUUCGGGUCGUAAAGCACGGUUGUAUGGGAAGAAAUGCUAGGCUAGGAAAUGAGCUUAGUUUGACGGUACCAUACCAGAAAGGGACGGCUAAAUACGUGCCAGCCGCCGCGGUAA
rnacentral:rRNA from 1 species